GAUGAACGCUGGCGGCGUGCCUAAUACAUGCAAGUAGAACGCUGAAGGAGGAGCUUGCUCUUCUGGAUGAGUUGCGAACGGGUGAGUAACGCGUAGGUAACCUGCCUGGUAGCGGGGGAUAACUAUUGGAAACGAUAGCUAAUACCGCAUGACAACAGUUAUUGCAUGAUAACUGUUUAAAAGGGGCAACUGCUCCACUACCAGAUGGACCUGCGUUGUAUUAGCUAGUUGGUGAGGUAACGGCUCACCAAGGCGACGAUACAUAGCCGACCUGAGAGGGUGAUCGGCCACACUGGGACUGAGACACGGCCCAGACUCCUACGGGAGGCAGCAGUAGGGAAUCUUCGGCAAUGGACGGAAGUCUGACCGAGCAACGCCGCGUGAGUGAAGAAGGUUUUCGGAUCGUAAAGCUCUGUUGAAAGAGAAGAACGAGUGUGAGAGUGGAAAGUUCACACUGUGACGGUAUCUUACCAGAAAGGGACGGCUAACUACGUG
rnacentral:rRNA from 1 species